GUAGGUGGCAAGCGUUGUCCGGAAUUAUUGGGCGUAAAGCGCGCGCAGGUGGUUCUUUAAGUCUGAUGUGAAAGCCCCAGGCUCAACCGGGGAGGGUCAUUGGAAACUGGGGAACUUGAGUGCAGGAGAGGAAAGUGGAAUUCCACGUGUAGCGGUGAAAUGCGUAGAUAUGUGGAGGAACACCAGUGGCGAAGGCGACUUUCUGGCCUGUAACUGACACUGAGGCGCGAAAGCGUGGGGAGCAAACAGGGAUUAGAUACCCUGGUAGUCCACGCCGUAAACGAUGAGUGCUAAGUGUUGGGGGGGUUUUCCGCCCCCUCAGUGCUGCAGCUAACGCAUUAAGCACUCCGCCUGGGAGUACGGUCGCAAGACUG
rnacentral:rRNA from 1 species